rfam:Picoides pubescens contig56351, whole genome shotgun sequence.
AGGGCCCUAGCUUAAUUAAAGUGUCUGGGUUGCAUUCAGGCGAUGUAGGGUAAUAUCCUGCGGGUCUUA